rnacentral:rRNA from 1 species
ACUGAACGCUGGCGGAAUGCUUUACACAUACAAGUCGAACGGCAGCACGGACUUCGGUCUGGUGGCGAGUGGCGAACGGGUGAGUAAUGUAUCGGAACGUGCCCAGUCGUGGGGGAUAACAUAGUGAAAAUUACGCUAAUACCGCAUACGAUCUAUGGAUGAAAGCGGGGGAUCGCAAGACCUCGCGCGAUUGGAGAGGCCUAUAUCAGAUUAGGUAGUUGGUGGGGUAAAGGCCCACCAAGCCAACGAUCUGUAGCUGGUCUGAGAGGACGACCAGCCACACUGGAACUGAGACACGGUCCAGACUCCUACGGGAGGCAGCAGUGGGGAAUUUUGGACAAUGGGCGAAAGCCUGAUCCAGCCAUUCCGCGUGCAGGAUGAAGGCCCUCGGGUUGUAAACUGCUUUUGUACAGAACGAAAAGGUUUCUACUAAUACUAGGAGCUCAUGACGGUACUGUAAGAGUAAGCACCGGCUAACUACGUGCCAGCCGCCGCCGUAA